AAACGGCGGCUGUGCUGUAGCUAUAGCUGUGGUUGCUGCUUUUACAGACCGCAAAAAUGAACUGGGAUAAUCAGCUCAGCUCUAUUAUAUCAGCAGCUGAUGGAAGUGUUGCUAAAAUGCGGGAACGACUUACCACACAUGGAAGACUUUCCAGAGAAAGAGAAGAUGUGUUUCCAAUGAGAGAGAGGAGUCAUGCUGUGGGUCUGGAACCCUGUGUUCCCCCUCUCCUUCCCCAGGCCUCCCCCGCACUCAGUGGAGCUGUUCAGUGGGCAGACCUGGCAGGUUUGCAGGCCCAGCUCCACAGCCACAGCCAGACUAUAGAAUUUUUAUCAAAGAGCUUGAUGUCUGUAGAGAGAGAAAGAAAUGCUCAGCAAAGACAAAUACAAACAUUACAAGGUGAGUAUCCACUCUUUGUUGUAAAUAAUUAGGGCCUCCAAACUCAGUCCAAACUUAACAUGACACAUUUCAC
rnacentral:lncRNA from 1 species